GUAGUCAUAUGCUUGUCUCAAAGAUUAAGCCAUGCAUGUCUCAGUGCAAGCCAAAAAUAAGGUGAAACCGCAAAAGGCUCAUUAAAUCAGUUAUGGUUCCUUGGUACGUACAAAUCAGUAGAUGGAUAACUGUGGCAAUUCUAGAGCUAAUACAUGCAAAUCGAGUCCCGACCAGCGAUGGAAGGGAUGCUUUUAUUAGAUCAAAACCAAUCGACGCAGGUUCCGUUCGCGGGCCAAUGUCGCUUUUUUUGAUGACUCUGGAUAACUUUGCCGAUCGCACGGUCUACGAGCCGGCGACACUUCCUUCAAAUGUCUGCCUUAUCAACUUUCGAUGGUAGGAUCUACGCCUACCAUGGUAGUGACGGGUAACGGGGAAUCAGGGUUCGAUUCCGGAGAGGGAGCCUGAGAAACAGCUACCACAUCCAAGGAAGGCAGCAGGCGCGCAAAUUACCCACUCCCGGCACGGGGAGGUAGUGACGAAAAAUAACGAUACGGGACUCAUCCGAGGCCUCGUAAUCGUAAUGAGUAUACUCUAAACACUUACACGAGUAUCAAUUGGAGGGCAAGCCUGGUGCCAGCAGCCGCGGUAAUUCCAGCUCCAAUAGCGUAUAUUAAAUUUGUUGCGGUUAAAAAGCUCGUAUUGGNNNNNNNNNNNNNNNNNNNNNNNNNNNNNNNNNNNNNNNNNNNNNNNNNNNNNUGCGGUACGUCCUGCCGGUGGCCAGACGGUUCUCGGCGGUUACGUAGGGCUCUUCGGCGUUAAUUCGUUGUCGACACCCAAAGUUCCGCUGUUUGAAUUGUCAGCCUAGUCACUCCUGUCGCGGUGCUCUUAACCGGGUGUCGAGACGGGCCGGCACGUUUACUUUGAACAAAUUAGAGUGCUCCAAGCAGGCUAAACGCCUGUAUGUUGUGUGCAUGGAAUAAUGGAAUAGGACCUCGGUUCUUUUUCGUUGGGUUUAAGAACCUGAGGUAAUGAUCAAUGGGGACAGGCGGGGGCAUUCGUAUUGCAACGUUAGAGGUGAAAUUCUUGGAUCGUAGCAAGACGAACAUAAGCGAAAGCAUUUGCCAAGUAUGUUCCCGUCGAUCAAGAACGAAAGUUAGAGGUUCGAAGGCGAUCAGAUACCGCCCUAGUUCUAACCAUAAACUAUGCCUGCCAGCGAUCCGACGACGUUCCUCCUAUGACUCGUCGGGCAGCUUCCGGGAAACCAGAGCUUUUGGGUUCCGGGGGAAGUAUGGUUGCAAAGCUGAAACUUAAAGGAAUUGACGGAAGGGCACCACCAGGAGUGGAGCCUGCGGCUUAAUUUGACUCAACACGGGAAAACUCACCAGGCCCGGACACCAUAAGGAUUGACAGAUUGAGAGCUCUUUCUUGAUUGGGUGAAUGGUGGUGCAUGGCCGUUCUUAGUUGGUGGAGCGAUUUGUCUGGUUAAUUCCGAUAACGAACGAGACUCUAGCCUGCUAACUAGGCGUACCCGGUAUCCUUUAAAGGCUACCGGCGAACAAAAUUUCUUCUUAGAGGAACAGGCGGUUCCCAGCCGCACGAAACUGAGCAAUAACAGGUCUGUGAUGCCCUUAGAUGUCCUGGGCCGCACGCGCGCUACACUGGGUAAGUCAGCGUGUCUCCCCUGUCCGAAAGGACCGGGUAACCCGCUGAAAAUUACCUGUAUCAGGGACUGGGGAUUGUAAUUGUUCCCCAUGAACGAGGAAUUCCCAGUAAGCGCGAGUCAUAAGCUCGCGUUGAUUACGUCCCUGCCCUUUGUACACACCGCCCGUCGCUACUACCGAUUGAAUGAUUUAGUGAGGUCUUCGGACUGGUGCGCGGAGGUCACGCUCUAGCGCGGUCUUCGAUGCCGCCGGAAAGAUGACCGAACUUGAUCAUUUAGAGGAAGUAAAAGUCGUAACAAG
rnacentral:rRNA from 1 species